UACGUAGGGUGCGAGCGUUGUUCGGAAUUACUGGGCGUAAAGCGCGCGUAGGCGGACCUGCAAGUCGGGGGGGAAAGCCCGAGGCUCAACCUCGGAACUGCCUUCGAUACUGCGGGUCUCGAGUCCGGGAGAGGUGAGUGGAAUUCCUAGUGUAGAGGUGAAAUUCGUAGAUAUUAGGAAGAACACCAGUGGCGAAGGCGGCUCACUGGCUCGGUACUGACGCUGAGGAGCGAAAGCGUGGGGAGCAAACAGG
rnacentral:rRNA from 1 species